AUUACUGUUAUAAUCAAUAUCUCUUUAUAGGUUAUAAAAUAGAGGCCUCUUGUACUUUUGGGACAUCAGACUUCUUGGAUUCCUAUUAUUAGAAGCUCAGUGAAGCAUCAAAUUCCAAAAUAUUUCUCUAACACAAAGGACCUGCCUGAAUACCUGCCUGCCACAAUGAAGAAUCCAAGCAGUUUAAAGAGUAAAAGUUCUCCAGCAUCCUCAUGUAAAUAAAAGUAUCCCUUCAAAGAGAUAGACACAGGUGGAUUUUGUAAUCUUACGUGACAACUAAAUCAAGGUUUCAAGAGAAAUGGAAGAACUAUUUCCCAAGUUAAUAAGGUUAAUUGGCACUAAAAGAAAUGAUCAUCAAGCUUGGAAUGUCAUAACAGGGAUGUCCUCAGACUGUGAAGAACCUGUCCAAGGGAAGGAGCUAGGUAAGUGACAAAGGAGAAAUACAUUUCCUAUCCUCAGCCAUUUGUGCCUUUCCUAAGCAAAAAAGAGAGACAAGAAAGUAGUUCUCAUAAUUCAGAAGCUUUGUGCAGUAUGAACCACUAGAGCAUUAAAAACCACAGUGAAGAUCCAUAGGGCAACUGGAGAUAAUUGAAGGAACUAAUUUACUCAGGCCAACCAAGGUAUCACUUAGUAACCAACAGUUUCCUCCUUCAUUUGUGAAAUGCACUGUUUUAAUAUACCAUGCUUUAGUUUUAAAAAUCUGGUGUUUGAUCAUUUCUGCUGCUAGGCUGAAGCUGAUGGGAAAAUUAUGUUUUUAUUUGUGAGCUAAAAUGAAUUAGUUUGAUCGUAAAGCGUCACGUGCUCUGGAGAUGUGGGAGAGCACAUGGACAUGGUUCAUUUAAUGCUGUUGCCUGAGCUCUAGUGCCAGUAAGACGGUAGUCUUUACCCUAGGGCUGAGUAGCCGUGGGAUCAGGAGCAAUGGGAUUUUCAGAUAUGGCUAAUCCUGUUUACUCUUGUUGUUACAAUACAAGAACACAGCAGUAAGAUUU
rnacentral:lncRNA from 1 species